AAUGAAAUUGUUCUUGCAGUGUUGCAGGCGACCACACUUUGCAAUUAAUACAGCUUCGAGUGUUACAUUUGCGGCAAGUAUCGCAUACGGGGGUUACAUACAUUGGAAAACUGUCGAAUGCUUCGCACUUGCCACAGAUUGGUCAUCCGAUUCUCGUUUCGCCAUCAUCACCAGUUGUGGCCGCGCCAUCGUCAUAAUACACGACCAGUAGGAUAUGGGAGGCAGAUCCUUCGAUGAGGAUGAAAAUACCAAUCCUGCGUACCGCCGGCGCAUGGCGAAAGUAU